AUGAAGGGAAGAAAAGGAAGACAUAGAGGGAGGGUGAGGUGGAGGAGGGAGGAAUGGGGUGAAUGAGAAAUUGUAUUUGCUGGCGGAGAUCUAAUAGCGGUGGGGCUGGAGAAUGAGAUCCCUGCCACCUAACCCUCCCAUCAAGAGGCCGGCUGUGAAGAAAGACUUCAGAGCAGGCAGGGGGCAGAUAGGAUCUCAGCUCCUCCGCAGGGUGCUGGGCCCGCUGCCUCCACCACUGGAGUUCACAAACUCUAGAAAGUGCAGAAGCCUUCACUGCAGAAUGGAGAUGGUGGUAGCACCUCCGCCUGGGGGUUUGAGGCUUAGCCAGGGUGAUCAAAGGACAAGGCUGUGUUAAAAUUCAGAGCACUAUGAACCCAUUUGUCAACUUCAGAUAGAAGGAAAAGUGGAAAGUUGAAAUGGAAUCAAGAAGAGGAAGCAAAGAGCAGUUGUGGCCAGUGGAAAUGGGUCAGAGGAUAGAAUUUGCAUCAUGAUCUACAGUUUUUCUGCAUUUAAGAGAGAAGGAUUUAUUUAAUAAUCCAGUGGAUAAGAUGAUUCAUUUUGUGGAUACCAGUCAGCUGAAUCUUUCCCCAGCCACACUCUCAUCUUCCAAUGGGCUUAUGAACAAAGUGGCCAUGGUGGCAGGGAUGGAAGUUAUGCAUGGACUCAGCAACAUGGACUUCCACUCACCAAGGCUGACCUGGAUAUAGUCACUGGUGAGUGUCUAAUCUGCCAACAGCAGAGACAAGCACUGCGUCCUCCAGAUGGCAUCAUUUCUGAGAGUGAACAGAUGG
rnacentral:lncRNA from 10 species